rnacentral:rRNA from 1 species
GACAGAGGGUGCAAACGUUGUUCGGAAUUACUGGGCGUAAAGCGCGUGUAGGCGGCUCUGCAAGUCGGAUGUGAAAGCCCACGGCUCGACCGUGGAAGUGCAUUCGAAACUGCAGGGCUAGAGUCCUGGAGAGGAAGGUGGAAUGCUUGGUGUAGAGGUGAAAUUCGUAGAUAUCAAGCGGAACACCGGUGGCGAAGGCGGCCUUCUGGACAGUGACUGACGCUGAGACGCGAAAGCGUGGGGAGCAAACAGG